GAUGAACGCUGGCGGCGUGCCUAAUACAUGCAAGUCGAGCGAACAGACGAGGAGCUUGCUCCUCUGACGUUAGCGGCGGACGGGUGAGUAACACGUGGAUAACCUACCUAUAAGACUGGGAUAACUUCGGGAAACCGGAGCUAAUACCGGAUAAUAUAUUGAACCGCAUGGUUCAAUAGUGAAAGACGGUUUUGCUGUCACUUAUAGAUGGAUCCGCGCCGCAUUAGCUAGUUGGUAAGGUAACGGCUUACCAAGGCAACGAUGCGUAGCCGACCUGAGAGGGUGCUCGGCCACAGGGGACGGGAGAGGGGGCCAAGACCCCUGGGGGGGGCAGCAGUGGGGAAUCUCCCGGAAAGGGGAAAGGCCGAAGGGAGCACCGCGGGGGGAGGGAGGAGGUUCUUGGGAUCAAAAACCUUUGUAAUGGGGAAGAAACAAAUGUAAAAGUAACUAGGCAGGUCUUGACGGUACCUAAAAAAAAAGCCACGGCUAACUCCGGG
rnacentral:rRNA from 1 species